rfam:Alligator mississippiensis ScZkoYb_686, whole genome shotgun sequence.
GCCUGGAAACAGCCAUGUUGUAUUUUUCAAGCAUAUCUCUGACUGCUCUGUGUGGAAAUCCAACUAUUUCUGCCUUUUCUGGGC